UUUCUCCCAUAGGUUCCCAUUGUUUUCAAGCUUUGUCGAUCACACUUGUGUCUGUGGCUCGCGACUGUGGCAAGCUGUCGCUCGUCCCCGCCACAAACAGCGCAUUUUGUGGCGGCGUUUUGUGGCUGGCUGAGAGCACACUAGCGACCUCUGGCGACCACAUGUGGCUGCUAAUCAGUGAUGCAGGAAACUUCGUAGAGGUGAGGUGUGGCGACCAAAUGUGGCCGGGUAUUCAAAACAUAACCACAUGUGGUCGCCACAUGUGGUCGCAAUUUGUGGCUCUAAAAAGUGGCUAGUGUGCUCUGGACCGCCACUUUGCGCGGCCACUUGUGGUGCCACAGAGUGGCUAGUGUGCUCGGGGCCAAAGAGUAGAAACUAAGGAAACUGCAUUCAUUAUAGUAGUUAAUUGCAGCAGUGAAGUUGUGUGGGAGGAACUAGCUUAGCUGUAGAGAGGUAGUGAGGGUUGUGUUUACGUGGUAAAGUUGAUGACAUGGCGCGUAGGGUAGAUAAGACACAGAGGGAUCUCUGUAAGGGAACAACAGGUCACCCGAGGUCGCAUAUCUGGCCCAGCGGCCUCAGAAGGGGGCAGAUUGUGUCCAGGCUUCAGAGAGAGAGGUGUCGUGACUCGCUCUGCUUUCUCCAUAAACCUUAGACCCUCAAACGCCGAUUCUCAUAGUCUCUAUCAUAAUCCACCCACUACCCAUGGCCUCCACGCUACCAACAAAUAUCCAGCUACUACCAAGUCCUCCAGAGUAAUCACCACAUACCAAGAAUCUCAUCAAUAUAGUGGUGGCCAAGUCUAUCUGAUACAGUGGAUACCAACAAUCUAACCAAAACAGUAGUGACAAACAAUAUAAACAAGACAGAGGUAGCAAUAGUGGCAUACCAAAUCCCAUCUGAUACAAGAGUGGCAAACUAAAUUUAUCCAAAACAGUAGUGGCAAACAAUAUAACCAAGACAUACAAGGAAAA